rnacentral:rRNA from 1 species
GACGUAGGGGGCCAGCGUUGCUCGGAAUCACUGGGCGUAAAGGGUGCGUAGGCGGGUCUUUUAAGUCAGGGGUGAAAUCCUGGAGCUCAACUCCAGAACUGCCUUUGAUACUGAAGAUCUUGAGUUCGGGAGAGGUGAGUGGAACUGCGAGUGUAGAGGUGAAAUUCGUAGAUAUUCGCAAGAACACCAGUGGCGAAGGCGGCUCACUGGCCCGAUACUGACGCUGAGGCACGAAAGCGUGGGGAGCAAACAGG